GUGCCAGCCGCCGCGGUAAUACCGGCAGCCCGAGUGAUGGCCGAUCUUAUUGGGCCUAAAGCGUCCGUAGCUGGCUGCGCAAGUCCGUCGGGAAAUCCACCUGCCCAACAGGGGGGCGUCCGGCGGAAACUGUGUGGCUUGGAACCGGAAGGCUCAGAGGGUACGUCCGGGGUAGGAGUGAAAUCCCGUAAUCCCGGACGGACCACCGAUGGCGAAAGCACUCUGAGAAGACGGCUUCGACAGUGAGGGACGAAAGCGAGGGUCUCAAACCGGAUUAGAAACCCGAGUGUCC
rnacentral:rRNA from 1 species